rnacentral:tRNA from 1 species
GUCCCCAUCGUCUAGUGGCCCAGGACCCUGGCCUUUCACGCCAGUAACGGGGGUUCAAACCCCCCUGGGGACGCCC